GCUCCAGUGGCCUAGUGGUUAGAACGUCGGCCUCGGAUGCCGGAGGUCGCUGGUUCGGUUUUAGAAAAUGGUACUAACAGCUGCCUCGCUUGGCGCU